rnacentral:rRNA from 1 species
UACAGAGGUGGCAAGCGUUGUUCGGAAUUACUGGGCGUAAAGGGCGCGUAGGCGGUUUUGUAAGUCCCGUGUGAAAUCCCUCGGCUCAACUGAGGAACUGCACGGGAAACUGCUUGACUUGAGUUCGGGAGAGGGAAGCGGAAUUCCGGGUGUAGCGGUGAAAUGCGUAGAUAUCCGGAGGAACACCGGUGGCGAAGGCGGCUUCCUGGACCGACACUGACGCUGAGGCGCGAAAGCUAGGGGAGCAAACGGG